ACCCAGCUGACGAGUCUCAAAUAGAACGGAACGCGAGUCCUCGAU
rfam:Schistosoma curassoni strain Dakar, Senegal genome assembly, scaffold: SCTD_scaffold0002389